rnacentral:rRNA from 1 species
GUUAAGUCGACCGCCUGGGGAGUACGGCCGCAAGGUUAAAACUCAAAUGAAUUGACGGGGGCCCGCACAAGCGGUGGAGCAUGUGGUUUAAUUCGAUGCAACGCGAAGAACCUUACCUGGUCUUGACAUCCACAGAACCUUGUAGAGAUACGAGGGUGCCUUCGGGAACUGUGAGACAGGUGCUGCAUGGCUGUCGUCAGCUCGUGUUGUGAAAUGUUGGGUUAAGUCCCGCAACGAGCGCAACCCUUAUCCUUUGUUGCCAGCGGUCCGGCCGGGAACUCAAAGGAGACUGCCAGUGAUAAACUGGAGGAAGGUGGGGAUGACGUCAAGUCAUCAUGGCCCUUACGACCAGGGCUACACACGUGCUACAAUGGCGCAUACAAAGAGAAGCGACCUCGCGAGAGCAAGCGGACCUCAUAAAGUGCGUCGUAGUCCGGAUUGGAGUCUGCAACUCGACUCCAUGAAGUCGGAAUCGCUAGUAAUCGUGGAUCAGAAUGCCACGGUGAAUACGUUCCCGGGCCUUGUACACACCGCCCGUCACACCAUGGGAGUGGGUUGCAAAAGAAGUAGGUAGCUUAACCUUCGGGAGGGCGCUUACCACUUUGUGAUUCAUGACUGGGGUGAAGUCGUAACAAGGUAACCGUAGGGGAACCUGCGGUUGGAUCACCUCCUUACCUUAAAGAAGC